rnacentral:rRNA from 1 species
CGAUACAGGGUGAUAGCCCCGUACACGAAGACGCAUUGCUGUGAGCUCGAUGAGUAGGACGGGACACGUGGUAUCCUGUUUGAAGAUGGGGGGACCAUCCUCCAAGGCUAAAUACUCCUGACUGACCGAUAGCGAACCAGUACCGUGAGGGAAAGGCGAAAAGAACCCCUGUGAGGGGAGUGAAAUAGAACCUGAAACCGUGUACGUACAAGCAGUGGGAGCACCUUCGUGGUGUGACUGCGUACCUUUUGUAUAAUGGGUCAGCGACUUACAUUUUGUAGCGAGGUUAACCGAAUAGGGGAGCCGUAGGGAAACCGAGUCUUAAUAGGGCGAAUUAGUUGCAAGGU